rnacentral:rRNA from 1 species
AGUGAACGCUGGCGGUAGGCCUAACACAUGCAAGUCGAACGGCAGCACAGUAAGAGCUUGCUCUUACGGGUGGCGAGUGGCGGACGGGUGAGGAAUACAUCGGAAUCUACUUUUUCGUGGGGGAUAACGUAGGGAAACUUACGCUAAUACCGCAUACGACCUACGGGUGAAAGCAUGGGAUCUUCGGAUCUUGCGCGAUUGAAUGAGCCGAUGUCGGAUUAGCUAGUUGGGGGGGUAAAGGCCCACCAAGGCGACGAUCCGUAGCUGGUCUGAGAGGAUGAUCAGCUACACUGGAACUGCGACACGGUCCAGACUCCUACGGGAGGCAGCAGUGGGGAAUAUUGGACAAUGGGCGCAAGCCUGAUCCAGCCAUACCGCGUGGGUGAAGAAGGCCUUCGGGUUGUAAAGCCCUUUUGUUGGGAAAGAAAAGCAGCAGGUUAAUACCCCGCUGUUCUGACGGUACCCAAAGAAUAAGCACCGGCUAACUUCGUG